rnacentral:rRNA from 1 species
UUGGGCUGCGAAGCAAUCGAGUUGGUGGCGGACCGCCUUGCUGGUUGGUUUGCUGUAUCGUCGUUGGACGAGCACGCUCGUUGGGUAACCCAACGGCUGUGCUGGUGUCUGUGCGUCGUUGAGCGGUUGUUGUGCCUGGCACAUGUGACACACUGGCCUGGGAAAGUGGUUCUUUCCUGGCCUUACGAACCGUAACUAGCGGUGUGUCUGUGCCUGUGUGCUACGUCCGUGGCCGUGAUGAGACGACGUGGUAGGGCCCGUGCUAUGCUUCUGCACGUGGCUUAAGACUCAAUGAGUGUCCGCUAGGCACCGCCAGUGUUUUUUUUCAUUUAUUUUUUUGACCACUUCUUUGUUGAAGAAAGAAAUUCUAGUCUUAUCGGUGGAUCACUCGGCUCGUGGAUCGAUGAAGAACGCAGCCAACUGCGAUAAUUAGUGCGAACUGCAGAAACCUUGAACACAAAACUUUCGAAUGCACAUUGCGCCAUUGGAGUUACAUCCAUUGGCACGCCUGGUUCAGGGUCGUUAUCAUAAAAGGCACUGCUGUGCCUGUUAUGUUGGUGAGAUCAUGUCGGCAUGACGUGUUCUUGCGCUAUUCUUGAAAAUGCUCGGCCGUGGAGUGUGGUUGUGUUGGCGCGAAACUGUCAGGUUCUUUCGCGUUUUACGGUCCGUAACUAGGACGCAACUGCUCGCCAUGUGUGCUGGGUGGAAUGCUUCGCUGGUAGGCAUUCCGUGUUUGAAUUUUCGACCUGAACUCAGACGUGAGUACCCGCUGAACUUAAGCAUAUCAGUAAGCGGAGAAACGA